AGUCGAAUGUAGCAUACAUGGCGAACUGCUCAGUAACACGUGGACAACCUGCCCUUAGGACGGGGAUAAACCCGGGAAACUGGGUAUAAUACCCGAUAGGUCUCGAUUGCUGGAAUGCAUCGAGAUUUAAAGCUCCGGCGCCUAAGGAUGGGUCUGCGGCCUAUCAGGUAGUAGUGGGUGUAGCGUACCUACUAGCCUACGACGGGUACGGGUUGUGAGAGCAAGAGCCCGGAGAUGGAUUCUGAGACACGAAUCCAGGCCCUACGGGGUGCAGCAGGCGCGAAAACUUUACAAUGCUGGCAACAGCGAUAAGGGAACCUCGAGUGCCAGGUUACAAAUCUGGCUGUCGAGAUGCCUAAAAAGCAUUUCAUAGCAAGGGCCGGGCAAGACCGGUGCCAGCCGCCGCGGUAACACCGGCGGCUCGAGUGGUAACCGUUAUUAUUGGGUCUAAAGGGUCUGUAGCCGGCCGGAUAAGUCUCUUGAGAAAUCUGGCAGCUUAACUGUCAGGCUUUCAGGAGAUACUGUCUGGCUCGAGGCCGGGAGAGGUGAGAGGUACUUCAGGGGUAGGGGUGAAAUCUUGUAAUCCUUGAAGGACCACCAGUGGCGAAGGCGUCUCACCAGAACGGACCUGACGGCAAGGGACGAAAGCUAGGGGCACGAACCGGAUUAGAUACCCGGGUAGUCCUAGCCGUAAACGAUACUCGCUAGGUGUCGGCCACGGUGCGACCGUUGUCGGUGCCGUAGGGAAGCCGUGAAGCGAGCCACCUGGGAAGUACGGCCGCAAGGCUGAAACUUAAAGGAAUUGGCGGGGGAGCACCACAACGGGUGGAGCUUGCGGUUUAAUUGGAUUCAACGCCGGG
rnacentral:rRNA from 1 species